rnacentral:ncRNA from 1 species
CUAAAGGUUUAAACUGACUUAGCUGUUAUUCUAUUCAAGUCUUAAACUCUGCUGCCCUGCCAAAAGCUUUCCUCUCCUAAGAUCUAAGAUUCUAAGCUAUCUGCUUUAGUUAAAUGACUAGAAUUUAAAUGUGUUAAAGUGAGAAAAUGCCCGCCAUAGCGGACAUAUCUCCCCGUCAAAAGGCUUAGCCCUCAAUAGAUCGCAGUGUUUUUCUUUUUUUUUUUUUUCUUAAGAACUGCCUUCAACUAAGUACGGCACCCCGACGAGAUUUAGUCGUCUAACAAACGAUAUAGAACCCCUACGUCUCAAUCAAGUGGUAUUUCGUGUCUGUGCCUCCACUGCCAAUUUUCAAGACAGCGGGUGUGGCCAGCUAUCGCAGUGGCUUUAGCCAGUCUCGGCGCCGAAAAUCGGAUUUCGGGCGAGUAUAUCGUUGCCUCCGCGUAGGGGCACCGUGAUAGUAUCGUUUGCAUUUCUGGGCGGAUUCAGACUUAGAGGCCUUUUCAGUCUUUAUAUCCCUCAGAUGGUAGCUUCGCACAUUGCGUUCUUUCGACCAAGCCACAUAAACCAAAUUGUCUGAACCUGCGGUUCCUCUCGUACUAAGCAGAUUACCAUAGCAACGACAAGACAUCAGUAGGGCUAACAAGACGUUGGAUUGUUCACCCACAAUAGGGACGUGAGCUGGGUUUAGCACCGUCGCUGAAGAACAGCGCUUAGUUUUACCCUACCUUGAUUGUCUUGUCGUUUGCUAUGGUAAUCCUGCUGUACGAGAGGAAAACCGCAAGGUUCAGACAUUUGGUUUAUGUGCUUGGUCGAAAGACCAAUGGCGACCCAAUGGUGCGAAGCUACCAUCUGAGGGAUUAAGACUGAAAGCCUCUUAAGUCUGAAUCCCGCCCAGAAAUGCAACGAUACUAUCGGUGCCCCUACGCCGGGAGGCAACGAUAUAUACUCGGCCCGAAAUCCGAUUUCGGCGGCCGAGACUGGCUAAAGCCACUGCGAUACUGGCCACACCCGCUGUCUUGAAAUUUGGCAGUGGAGGCACAGACACGAUACCACUUGAUUGAGACGUAGGGGUUCUAUAUCGUUUGUAGACGACUUAGAUCUCGGUCGGGGUGCCGUACUUAGUUGAGCAGUUCUUCACUGCGAUCUAUUGAGGCUAAGCCUUUUGACGGGGAGAUAUGU